GGUUAAGCGACUAAGCGUACACGGUGGAUGCCCUGGCAGUCAGAGGCGAUGAAGGACGUGCUAAUCUGCGAUAAGCGUCGGUAAGGUGAUAUGAACCGUUAUAACCGGCGAUUUCCGAAUGGGGAAACCCAGUGUGAUUCGUCACACUAUCAUUAACUGAAUCCAUAGGUUAAUGAGGCGAACCGGGGGAACUGAAACAUCUAAGUACCCCGAGGAAAAGAAAUCAACCGAGAUUCCCCCAGUAGCGGCGAGCGAACGGGGAGCAGCCCAGAGCCUGAAUUAGUGUGUGUGUUAGUGGAAGCGUCUGGAAAGGCGCGCGAUACAGGGUGACAGCCCCGUACACAAAAAUGCACAUACUGUGAGCUCGAUGAGUAGGGCGGGACACGUGGUAUCCUGUCUGAAUAUGGGGGGACCAUCCUCCAAGGCUAAAUACUCCUGACUGACCGAUAGUGAACCAGUACCGUGAGGGAAAGGCGAAAAGAACCCCGGCGAGGGGAGUGAAAAAGAACCUGAAACCGUGUACGUACAAGCAGUGGGAGCCUCUUUAUGGGGUGACUGCGUACCUUUUGUAUAAUGGGUCAGCGACUUAUAUUCUGUAGCAAGGUUAACCGAAUAGGGGAGCCGAAGGGAAACCGAGUCUUAACUGGGCGUUAAGUUGCAGGGUAUAGACCCGAAACCCGGUGAUCUAGCCAUGGGCAGGUUGAAGGUUGGGUAACACUAACUGGAGGACCGAACCGACUAAUGUUGAAAAAUUAGCGGAUGACUUGUGGCUGGGGGUGAAAGGCCAAUCAAACCGGGAGAUAGCUGGUUCUCCCCGAAAGCUAUUUAGGUAGCGCCUCGUGAAUUCAUCUCCGGGGGUAGAGCACUGUUUCGGCAAGGGGGUCAUCCCGACUUACCAACCCGAUGCAAACUGCGAAUACCGGAGAAUGUUAUCACGGGAGACACACGGCGGGUGCUAACGUCCGUCGUGAAGAGGGAAACAACCCAGACCGCCAGCUAAGGUCCCAAAGUCAUGGUUAAGUGGGAAACGAUGUGGGAAGGCCCAGACAGCCAGGAUGUUGGCUUAGAAGCAGCCAUCAUUUAAAGAAAGCGUAAUAGCUCACUGGUCGAGUCGGCCUGCGCGGAAGAUGUAACGGGGCUAAACCAUGCACCGAAGCUGCGGCAGCGACACUAUGUGUUGUUGGGUAGGGGAGCGUUCUGUAAGCCUGUGAAGGUGUACUGUGAGGUAUGCUGGAGGUAUCAGAAGUGCGAAUGCUGACAUAAGUAACGAUAAAGCGGGUGAAAAGCCCGCUCGCCGGAAGACCAAGGGUUCCUGUCCAACGUUAAUCGGGGCAGGGUGAGUCGACCCCUAAGGCGAGGCCGAAAGGCGUAGUCGAUGGGAAACAGGUUAAUAUUCCUGUACUUGGUGUUACUGCGAAGGGGGGACGGAGAAGGCUAUGUUGGCCGGGCGACGGUUGUCCCGGUUUAAGCGUGUAGGCUGGUUUUCCAGGCAAAUCCGGAAAAUCAAGGCUGAGGCGUGAUGACGAGGCACUACGGUGCUGAAGCAACAAAUGCCCUGCUUCCAGGAAAAGCCUCUAAGCAUCAGGUAACAUUAAAUCGUACCCCAAACCGACACAGGUGGUCAGGUAGAGAAUACCAAGGCGCUUGAGAGAACUCGGGUGAAGGAACUAGGCAAAAUGGUGCCGUAACUUCGGGAGAAGGCACGCUGAUAUGUAGGUGAAGCGACUUGCUCGUGGAGCUGAAAUCAGUCGAAGAUACCAGCUGGCUGCAACUGUUUAUUAAAAACACAGCACUGUGCAAACACGAAAGUGGACGUAUACGGUGUGACGCCUGCCCGGUGCCGGAAGGUUAAUUGAUGGGGUUAGCGGUAACGCGAAGCUCUUGAUCGAAGCCCCGGUAAACGGCGGCCGUAACUAUAACGGUCCUAAGGUAGCGAAAUUCCUUGUCGGGUAAGUUCCGACCUGCACGAAUGGCGUAAUGAUGGCCAGGCUGUCUCCACCCGAGACUCAGUGAAAUUGAACUCGCUGUGAAGAUGCAGUGUACCCGCGGCAAGACGGAAAGACCCCGUGAACCUUUACUAUAGCUUGACACUGAACAUUGAGCCUUGAUGUGUAGGAUAGGUGGGAGGCUUUGAAGUGUGGACGCCAGUCUGCAUGGAGCCGGCCUUGAAAUACCACCCUUUAAUGUUUGAUGUUCUAACGUUGGCCCCUGACCGGGGUUGCGGACAGUGUCUGGUGGGUAGUUUGACUGGGGCGGUCUCCUCCUAAAGAGUAACGGAGGAGCACGAAGGUUGGCUAAUCCUGGUCGGACAUCAGGAGGUUAGUGCAAUGGCAUAAGCCAGCUUGACUGCGAGCGUGACGGCGCGAGCAGGUGCGAAAGCAGGUCAUAGUGAUCCGGUGGUUCUGAAUGGAAGGGCCAUCGCUCAACGGAUAAAAGGUACUCCGGGGAUAACAGGCUGAUACCGCCCAAGAGUUCAUAUCGACGGCGGUGUUUGGCACCUCGAUGUCGGCUCAUCACAUCCUGGGGCUGAAGUAGGUCCCAAGGGUAUGGCUGUUCGCCAUUUAAAGUGGUACGCGAGCUGGGUUUAGAACGUCGUGAGACAGUUCGGUCCCUAUCUGCCGUGGGCGCUGGAGAACUGAGGGGGGCUGCUCCUAGUACGAGAGGACCGGAGUGGACGCAUCACUGGUGUUCGGGUUGUCAUGCCAAUGGCACUGCCCGGUAGCUAAAUGCGGAAGAGAUAAGUGCUGAAAGCAUCUAAGCACGAAACUUGCCCCGAGAUGAGUUCUCCCUGACUCCUUGAGAGUCCUGAAGGAACGUUGAAGACGACGACGUUGAUAGGCCGGGUGUGUAAGCGCAGCGAUGCGUUGAGCUAACCGGUACUAAUGAACCGUGAGGCUUAACCUU
rnacentral:rRNA from 1 species